rnacentral:rRNA from 1 species
AGCGAAACGGGAAGAGCCCAAACCAACAAGCUUGCUUGUUGGGGUUGUAGGACACUCUAUACGGAGUUACAAAGGACGACAUUAGACGAAUCAUCUGGAAAGAUGAAUCAAAGAAGGUAAUAAUCCUGUAGUCGAAAAUGUUGUCUCUCUUGAGUGGAUCCUGAGUACGACGGAGCACGUGAAAUUCCGUCGGAAUCUGGGAGGACCAUCUCCUAAGGCUAAAUACUCUCUAGUGACCGAUAGUGAACCAGUACCGUGAGGGAAAGGUGAAAAGCACCCCGGAAGGGGAGUGAAAUAGAACCUGAAACCGUGUGCUUACAAGUAGUCAGAGCCCGUUAAUGGGUGAUGGCGUGCCUUUUGUAGAAUGAACCGGCGAGUUACGAUUUGAUGCAAGGUUAAGCAGUAAAUGUGGAGCCGUAGCGAAAGCGAGUCUGAAUAGGGCGUUUAGUAUUUGGUCGUAGACCCGAAACCAGGUGAUCUACCCUUGGUCAGGUUGAAGUUCAGGUAACACUGAAUGGAGGACCGAACCGACUUACGUUGAAAAGUGAGCGGAUGAACUGAGGGUAGCGGAGAAAUUCCAAUCGAACCUGGAGAUAGCUGGUUCUCUCCGAAAUAGCUUUAGGGCUAGCCUCAAGUGAUGAUUAUUGGAGGUAGAGCACUGUUUGGACGAGGGGCCCCUCUCGGGUUACCGAAUUCAGACAAACUCCGAAUGCCAAUUAAUUUAACUUGGGAGUCAGAACAUGGGUGAUAAGGUCCGUGUUCGAAAGGGAAACAGCCCAGACCACCAGCUAAGGUCCCAAAAUAUAUGUUAAGUGGAAAAGGAUGUGGCGUUGCCCAGACAACUAGGAUGUUGGCUUAGAAGCAGCCAUCAUUUAAAGAGUGCGUAAUAGCUCACUAGUCGAGUGACACUGCGCCGAAAAUGUACCGGGGCUAAACAUAUUACCGAAGCUGUGGAUUGUCCUUUGGACAAUGGUAGGAGAGCGUUCUAAGGGCGUUGAAGCAUGAUCGUAAGGACAUGUGGAGCGCUUAGAAGUGAGAAUGCCGGUGUGAGUAGCGAAAGACGGGUGAGAAUCCCGUCCACCGAUUGACUAAGGUUUCCAGAGGAAGGCUCGUCCGCUCUGGGUUAGUCGGGUCCUAAGCUGAGGCCGACAGGCGUAGGCGAUGGAUAACAGGUUGAUAUUCCUGUACCACCUAUAAUCGUUUUAAUCGAUGGGGGGACGCAGUAGGAUAGGCGAAGCGUACGAUUGGAUUGCACGUCUAAGCAGUAAGGCUGAGUAUUAGGCAAAUCCGGUACUCGUUAAGGCUGAGCUGUGAUGGGGAGAAGACAUUGUGUCUUCGAGUCGUUGAUUUCACACUGCCGAGAAAAGCCUCUAGAUAGAAAAUAGGUGCCCGUACCGCAAACCGACACAGGUAGUCAAGAUGAGAAUUCUAAGGUGAGCGAGCGAACUCUCGUUAAGGAACUCGGCAAAAUGACCCCGUAACUUUGGGAGAAGGGGUGCUCUUUAGGGUUAACGCCCAGAAGAGCCGCAGUGAAUAGGCCCAAGCGACUGUUUAUCAAAAACACAGGUCUCUGCUAAACCGUAAGGUGAUGUAUAGGGGCUGACGCCUGCCCGGUGCUGGAAGGUUAAGAGGAGUGGUUAGCUUCUGCGAAGCUACGAAUCGAAGCCCCAGUAAACGGCGGCCGUAACUAUAACGGUCCUAAGGUAGCGAAAUUCCUUGUCGGGUAAGUUCCGACCCGCACGAAAGGCGUAACGAUUUGGGCACUGUCUCAACGAGAGACUCGGUGAAAUCAUAGUACCUGUGAAGAUGCAGGUUACCCGCGACAGGACGGAAAGACCCCGUGGAGCUUUACUGUAGCCUGAUAUUGAAAUUCGGCACAGCUUGUACAGGAUAGGUAGGAGCCUUUGAAACGUGAGCGCUAGCUUACGUGGAGGCGCUGGUGGGAUACUACCCUAGCUGUGUU